GGCUGCUGACGACGAUCACGCACCAGACUCAUGUUGUUUACAUCAAGAGGAGCCUCCACGUGUCCAGGCUGCCGCUCUUCAAACGUGCAGACGGCAGGUUCAUUCCCUUCGUGCGACAGUGAGCUCCGCAGCAGCCGGAGCAGAGAAGGAGAAGACUCUUUCCUCAAAAUGGUUCCUGCUGCUCAUCCCUGCCACCACGUUCG